CGCAGCCAGCUGCGAGAUUUGGUGUGAAUUGCAGGACACAUUGAGCACUGAUUUUUCGAACGCACAUUGCGGCCUCGGGUCCUACCCGGGGCCUCGCCUGUCUGAGGGUCGGAUAAGACUUGCCUAGGAAAUUCGUUUCCAAUUGGCCGCACCGGAAGACUCGUUUUCCGCCGGCUCAAGUAAGUAGAAACGGAAUCCUCACCGGUCGAAAGAAGCGUCGCCGAUGUGCACGCCCGUCGGCUGGAGAAGACGAGUGCUUUCUCCGCCUUGACGGGCCUUCGGUUCGAUGCUGGCACGACCGCCUUUCCGUCCUUCCUCCGUUUUCGGAUGGGAGAAAAAAUAUUUAUUGUCGACCUCAGAUCAGACGAGAUGACCCGCUGAAUUUAAGCAUAUC
rnacentral:rRNA from 1 species